rnacentral:rRNA from 1 species
UACGGAGGGAGCUAGCGUUGUUCGGAUUUACUGGGCGUAAAGCGCACGUAGGCGGCGCCGUAAGUCAGGGGUGAAAUCCCGGAGCUCAACUCCGGAACUGCCCUUGAAACUGCAGUGCUAGAAUCCUGGAGAGGCGAGUGGAAUUCCUGGUGUAGCGGUGGAAUGCGCAGAUAUCAGGAGGAACACCAAUAGCGAAGGCAGCUCGCUGGGACGGUAUUGACGCUAAGGCGCGAAAGCGUGGGGAGCAAACAGG